rnacentral:rRNA from 1 species
UUGGAGGGCAAGUCUGGUGCCAGCAGCCGCGGUAAUUCCAGCUCCAAUAGCGUAUAUUAAAGUUGUUGUGGUUAAAAAGCUCGUAGUUGAACCUUGGGCCUGGCUGGCCGGUCCGCCUCACCGCGUGUACUGGUCCGGCCGGGCCUUUCCCUCUGUGGAACCCCAUGCCCUUCACUGGGUGUGGCGGGGAAACAGGACUUUUACNGUGAAAAAAUUAGAGUGCUCCAGGCAGGCCUAUGCUCGAAUACAUUAGCAUGGAAUAAUAGAAUAGGA